rnacentral:lncRNA from 1 species
AUUCCUGCCGCUGGCCGGCUCCUGGCCAGGCUGGGGCUGUUCUCACCAGAAAACAAAAAUGUCUUUCAGACCAAAGCAAAACGAGGCCCCAGCUGGCCCAGGCAGGCCAUUGGGCGUUGUUCACACUGACCCACUAUGAACACCAAUCACUGGGGCUCUCACUUUGCACCCACUGGAAGGAACCCAUCAUCUUUGGAGACGGAACUGGAGGCCUCGGUGGCUGCUGAGGAAAGCACUACGCCCCAAGAUUCACAUGAAUUAGGAGCUACACAAAGGAAGUAGGCCCAGGAAUAACCACACCUACCACGGAUCUCCCGAGGCAGCCGAGCAAAUGAUGAGGAACCACCCCUGGGCAUCCUGAAGGACAACCCCAAGGGCUCAAAGCAGCAUCUCAUCCACAGCACUCCCCUAACCCCACCAAUCUGUGGACCCAGUGGAUGGUUAGUGGGAACUCUGGCGAGGCCAACGCAAGGAAUGGGAGCAUCACACCAGACCAUCCAGUGAGGUGAGGACCUUGACUGGGAAUUCCUCUCAUCUAUGCUUGGCAGAGUGGCCCAAGCUCCCAAUCUGUCAGGUGACUGGAACCUUGGAGCUCUAAGGAAGCAGCAGCCCUCAGAGAAGACUCUCUUCCACAAAACUGGUCACCCAGAAGCUGUGGGUUCACUAGUUGAUUCAUUCAUUCAUUCAACAAACACUUCUGGAGCACCUCCUUCUAUUCCAGGCUGCACUGGUUCUCAGCACACAGGGUUCUCCAGUGAAGGGUAACCUGGCCCUGCCUGCAAGGAGUUUACACCUGCUUUUCCCUACUGCUUCUAACAUAUUGGCAUCAUCCCCCACCUGGGCACAGAGCCUAGCAUCCUAGCAGGAGCACACUCAAAAUCUGUUGUUUACUGAUUGACUUGUGGUAAGGAAACAGCUUAUAAAACACAUUAUUAAAAUAAAUUACGCUCAGGGAA